CUCAUGUAUAAAUCCAUAUUAAUUCUAUUAAAAUAUGUACAUAAUUACAUGGAACAUAAUUUUACAAGUUGUUUUAGAACCUAUUUUAUCUUUGUCUGGUAAUUAAUUCUUUGGAAGUACUACAGUCAGAGUUUUUUCCUCAAUAAGAAAAGCUUCAUCCAUACAUACUUACCACCUUUUCAUUCUCAUGGUUCCAGGUGACUAUAAAAAUCACAUAUGGCUGGUAUCGUAGGAUUAGAAUAUAAAGGGAUAGAUACAAUUUCCUUAGCCACAUGGCUAAUGAAAACUCCUUCCUCAAAAUGAAAUUAUACUCCUCUUCCUCCAGUCUUAAAGUAUUUACUUGUUCAGUUGGUGUGAGUAUCAACCACUAAAAGGCAAACGGGAGUGGAGGCAAACGGGAGUGGAAAAGUGAGAAAUUUUGAAGAGAAAGAAUAAAGGAAAAAGAAGAAAUAAAAAAUGGAGGGGAAUAUUUGCCUCCAUUGUGACAAAUGUCAACUAACAAGACUCUUUCCUUUAGGAUUACUAACAACUACUCUUCAUUUUUAUUUUAGAUGCUGUUUAUUACUUGCAUCCUGGUAACAUGGUAAUCCUAAAACUUCAAGAAAUAUUCUCCAAAAUGCUGAAUAUGUCUGGAAUUACAAGAACCUUCUGUGGUGGAACGGAGUUACUGGACCAAGGACCCAGAUAGAAACACUGCCAGAGUCCACAACACAAUAAGAGCUGAGUAAGUAGGGAGCCAUUGAUCAAGCAGAGAAAAUUUUCAAUUUGUGUUCAUCAUCCCCAGAUGUCAGCAACAAAUGCCAGCUGAAGAUCCUGAAAAAGACCAAGCCAAACAAAUACUGCAGCAGACACAGAACACCCACUCUGCAGCAGACUGAAAACCACUCCAUGAAGACAUGAAAUCAUGCCAAGCCUGAUCACCUGAAUGCCUCAAAAUAUCUGCUGCAAUGCCUGAUAUCUAGUAAAGACCCAAAUGUUUGAUAAUUGAAUGAACAGAAACAAUCAACGAACAAUUGUUAGAGCCAAGUCUAUGUUCCCCAACUGAUAUUUCAAUUUUAUGAAGUCCAUUCAAAAUUCCAGCUGCU